rnacentral:rRNA from 1 species
AGUCGAACGAUCUCUUCGGAGAUAGUGGCAGACGGGUGAGUAACGCGUGGGCAACCUACCCUUUGGUACGGAACAACAGUUGGAAACGACUGCUAAUACCGUAUGUGCCCUACGGGGGAAAGAUUUAUCGCCAAAGGAUGGGCCCGCGUUGGAUUAGCUAGUUGGUGAGGUAAUGGCUCACCAAGGCGACGAUCCAUAGCUGGUCUGAGAGGAUGAUCAGCCACACUGGGACUGAGACACGGCCCAGACUCCUACGGGAGGCAGCAGUGGGGAAUAUUGGACAAUGGGCGCAAGCCUGAUCCAGCCAUGCCGCGUGAGUGAUGAAGGCCUUAGGGUUGUAAAGCACUUUCAGUAAGGAGGAAAGGGAUGUAGUUAAUAACUGCAUUCUGUGACGUUACUUACAGAAGAAGCACCGGCUAACUUCGUGCCAGCAGCCGCGGUAAUACGAGGGGUGCAAGCGUUAAUCGGAAUUACUGGGCGUAAAGCGUUCGUAGGCGGUUGAUUAAGCAAGAUGUGAAAGCCCAGGGCUCAACCUUGGAACUGCAUUUUGAACUGGUCAACUAGAGUACUGUAGAGGGUGGUGGAAUUUCCAGUGUAGCGGUGAAAUGCGUAGAGAUUG